rnacentral:misc_RNA from 1 species
GCAAACUUGGUCAUUUAGAGGAAGUAAAAGUCGUAACAAGGUCUCCGUUGGUGAACCAGCGGAGGGAUCAUUACAGAGCUUAAAAACUCCCAAACCCCUGUGAACAUACCUAUCGUUGCUUCGGCGGACCGUCCCUGGCCCUUCUGGGCUUGGAACCAGGCGACCGCCGGGGGAAACCAAACUCUUGUUUUUUCAGUAUCUUCUGAGUGGCGUAAAGCAAAAAUAAAUCAAAACUUUCAACAACGGAUCUCUUGGUUCUGGCAUCGAUGAAGAACGCAGC